rnacentral:rRNA from 1 species
UACGUAGGGUGCGAGCGUUGUCCGGAAUUAUUGGGCGUAAAGAGCUCGUAGGCGGUGUGUCACGUCGAUCGUGAAAACUUGGGGCUUAACUCUGAGCUUGCGGUCGAUACGGGCAUCACUGGAGUUCGGCAGGGGAGACUGGAAUUCCUGGUGUAGCGGUGAAAUGCGCAGAUAUCCGGAGGAACACCGACGGCGUAGGCAGCGCCCUGGACGACACCUGACGCUGAGGCACGAAAGCUGGGGGAGCGAACAGG